CGUGAGGUGUCGGGUUAAGUCCCAUAACGAGCGCAACCCCCAUCUCUAGUUGCCAGCGGGUAAUGCCGGGGACUCUAGAGAAACUGCCCGUGUAAACGGUGAGGAAGGUGGGGACGACGUCAAGUCAUCACGGCCCUUACGUCCUGGGCUACACACGUGCUACAAUGGCGAGGAACAAAGGGAAGCUACCGCGCGAGCGGAUGCCGAUCUCCAAAACUCGUCUCAGUUCGGAUCGGAGUCUGCAACCCGACUCCG
rnacentral:rRNA from 1 species